GCCGGGGUGGCGAAACGGCAGACGCGGGGGACUUAAAAUCCCCUGUCCCGAAGGACGUGCGGGUUCGAGCCCCGCCCCCGGCA
rnacentral:tRNA from 1 species